UCGCGCGAUCACACUACUGAGCGCUGCCUACAAGGUACUCUCCCAAAUUUUAUGCCGCCGUUUAUCACCGAUUGCAAGAGAGUUCGUGGGGCAAUAUCAGGCUGGAUUCAUGGGUGAACGCGCUACAACGGACCAGAUGUUCGCCAUCCGCCAGGUGUUGCAGAAAUGCCGCGAAUACAACGUGCCCACACAUCACUUGUUCAUCGAUUUCAAAUCGGCGUAUAAUACAAUCGAUCGAGAACAGCUAUGAUGGCAGAUUAUGCACAAAUACGGAUUCCCGGAUAAACUGAUACGAUUGAUCAAGGCGACGAUGGAUCGAGUGAUGUGCGUAGUUCGAGUAUCAGGGACACUCUCGAGUCGCUUUGAAUCUCGCAGAGGGUUACGACAAGGUGAUGGUCUUUCGGGCUUGCUGUUCAACAUUGCUUUAGAGGGUGUAAUUAGGAAAGCGGGGAUAUACAUUAGUGGUACAAUUUUCACGAAGUCUGUUCAGCUGCUUGGUUUCGCCGAUGAUAUUGAUGUUAUUGCUCGUAAAUUUGAGACGAUGGCGGAAACGUACAUCCGACUAAAGAGUGAAGUCUUAGUACAUGAUGGCAAAGGGCUCCAGGGAGGAAUCACCGCGCUCGGCACCCCGAAUUUCUAUCGACGGUGAUAAAAUCGAGGCGGUUGAAGAAUUCGUGUACUUGGGCUCACUGGUGACCGCCGACAACGACACCAGAAGAGAGAUUCAGAGGCGCAUUGUGGCAGGAAAUCGUACUUACUUUGAACUCCGCAGAACUCUACGAUCGAAUAAAGUUCGCCGUAACACGAAGUUAACUAUCUACAAAACGCUGAUUAGACCGGUCGUUCUCUAUGGGCACGAAACAUGGACCCUACGUGCAGAGGACAGGACCAACGCGUCCUUGGAGUUUUCGAACGGAAGGUGUUGCGUACCAUCUACGGCGGAGUGCAGAUGGUAGACAGGACUUGGAGAAAGCGAAUGAACCACGAGCUGCAUCAGCUGCUGAGAGAACCAACUAUCGUCCAUAUCGCGAAAAUCGGGUCACGUCAUCAGGAUGUCGGAUAGCAACCCGACUAAAAUGGUUCUCGAGAGUCAUCCGACCGGCGCAAGAAAACGUGGAGCGCAGCGAGCUAGGUGGGUCAACCAAGUGGAGGACGAUCUGCGGACUCUACGCAGAGUGCGGAACUGGAGUCAUGGACCGAGUGGAAUGGAGACGGCUACUAUGUACAGCAGAGGCCACCCCGGCCUUAGCCUGAUCGGUAAGGUAAGGUCAUCCUCCUGCAGCUGAACGGAACGCCCACCAUUUUCAACUGUCGAAUCAAUUUAUCAAACGCAAGGAAGUAACUGCGCGUCGAAGAUCCUUCUAGUAUUCGAAGCUUUGGCAAUUGCUUCCGUAAAACUGUCUAGCUCGCCACAUACUUCUUGGCGAAGAUGUCCACCAGUGCCUUUCACAUCGCCUUUGGUCGUUUGUUUCUCCCAAACUAUCUCCAGACUCUUGUCCAAGAUGAAGCUGACUAGUGAGGACUUGACCUUCCGGUCCAUCUUGAGAAGCUUUCUCCGUUCCUCUGCGGCGACUGGCGCAUCUUCUUCAAGCGCAUCCGAAACUUCAUCCGGAACUGCCAGUUCGCGAAAUUGUCCCCAUUCUGUUGAGGUAUUCCGGAAUUCUCUUUAAACGAGGUGCCCACAACCUGAAGAGAUUUUGCAUCCGGGUCUCGAAAUGAAACGCUGACAAGCAAACACACAAACUAAAGCGACAAUCGUUCGCUGCUGUCUUCGAGUGUGGAGGAAAAUGGAAAGUGGAAAUCCAGGAGCCCUGAUUAC